rnacentral:rRNA from 1 species
UCCAACCUGCCCACCACUUGGGGAUACCUUGCGAAAGUAAGACUAAUACCCAAUGAUAUCUCUAGAAGACAUCUGAAAGAGAUUAAAGAUUUAUCGGUGAUGGAUGGGGAUGCGUCUGAUUAGCUUGUUGGCGGGGUAACGGCCCACCAAGGCAACGAUCAGUAGGGGUUCUGAGAGGAAGGUCCCCCACAUUGGAACUGAGACACGGUCCAAACUCCUACGGGAGGCAGCAGUGAGGAAUAUUGGUCAAUGGACGAGAGUCUGAACCAGCCAAGUAGCGUGCAGGAAGACGGCCCUAUGGGUUGUAAACUGCUUUUAUAAGGGAAUAAAGUGAGAGUCGUGACUCUUUUUGCAUGUACCUUAUGAAUAAGGACCGGCUAAUUCCGUGCCAGCAGCCGCGGUAAUACGGAAGGUCCGGGCGUUAUCCGGAUUUAUUGGGUUUAAAGGGAGCGUAGGCCGGAGAUUAAGCGUGUUGUGAAAUGUAGAUGCUCAACAUCUGAACUGCAGCGCGAACUGGUUUCCUUGAGUACGCACAAAGUGGGCGGAAUUCGUGGUGUAGCGGUGAAAUGCUUAGAUAUCACGA